GAUAAGAUGGCUGAGAAAAUAGGCGGUAGAUUGUAAAUCUAUUAACAAGUAAUUUACUUUCUUAUUA
rnacentral:tRNA from 1 species